ACUCCUACGGGAGGCAGCAGUGGGGAAGUCUUGCGCAAUGGGCGAAAGCCUGACGCAGCCAUGCCGCGUGAAUGAUGAAGGUCUUAGGAUUGUAAAAUUCUUUCACCGGGGACGGAUAAUGACGGUACCCGGAGAAGAAGCCCCGGCCUAACUUCGUGCCAGCAGCCGCGGUAAUACGAAGGGGGCGUAGCGUUGCUCGGAAUUACUGGGGCGUAAAGGGAGCGUAGGCGGACAUUUAAGUCAGGGGUGAAAUCCCGGGGCUCAACCUCGGAAUUGCCUUUUGAUACUGGAUGUCUUGAGUGUGAGAGAGGUAUGUGGAACUCCGAGUGUAGAGGUGAAAUUCGUAGAUAUUCGGAAGAACACCAGUGGCGAAGGCGACAUACUGGCUCA
rnacentral:rRNA from 1 species